rnacentral:lncRNA from 1 species
AGCUGCCGUCAUACAUAACAGAGAAUUAAGAAAAAUGUAUAUAUUUUUUUUAAUUCGGAAUUAUUAUUAAUUAGUUCAAUUUCUAAACAUAAUUACUAUUAUCAUAGAUACAUUAUAUUAUAAAGCUUUACAACAAAGUAGCGAAACGCGACUGUUAGCUUGAGUUUGGGUCAGACAAAGGACUCAAACCAUCAAGGUGAUCUAUAAUAAUCAACUACCUUGUAAGCCAUAGAGUGACCAUACUGAGCAAUAUCAAGGGAAAUUCUUUGACAUAGCGACAUUUCGAAUGUUUAAGUCAAUUAUUUCUUCUUUAUUGACAAGUUCAACUACUUCUUCAUAUCAUCACUCCAUGGAUUCAUGGUCUCUAUGACUCAAACUAAUUCCCAGGGAAAGACAAUGAGUUCUAAAUUCUAAUACUAUAUCUGGAGGACCAUAAGCUCGAAUCACGGAACCUGUUGUGGUAAAAGCCAUCAUUUUGAUAAAUUCCCUCGGGAUGAAUCAUGAUGAAAAGGGGAGAGCGAAGCAAAGGUGAGAGCCGAUCAAAAUCGAGGUGCGAGAAUUGCAAAAAUGUUGUCCAUGUGCACUUUGAAGGAUCCAGUGGGUAGAUAGCAUGUCAUGAAUCUAAAAAAUAGGUCAAAAAUAAAAUAAUUUUGUUUAUCAUCAACUCAAAAGUUAUAAUUUUAUAAAACUUACAUUGAUUACUAGUCAAUUCUAAGAUUUAUACUUUUAUUUUGAAAAAAUACUUUAAGUCCUAUUUAAUAUUUAUACCCAAUGGAUCUAAGAACUAAUGUAGCUGAGUGUGAGGAGAGUUCAAAUCUUCUUCAACCAGUAAGGAUUCGUCUUAUGGAACAGACACGCUGUGCGAGAUGUUGGAAGCCUUUAAGACCAAAUGAUACCUGGCCUGGACCUCGGGAAUCUAAUAGACUUCCAGACAAUGCUCCUAAUACUAUUCUCGUUGCCACUCCUUGUGGACACAUUUACCAUGGAUGCUGUGUAGUCAAUUUAGAUCAUUGCUCGAUAUGUCGUGGAAAAUUGAUGACAUAUAAGGAAUUACAUGUUGUUUUUGAUUGUCAAUAAUACCUUUAAUGUUUUAUUGAAUUAUUGCUUUUUAAAUUAGUUCGUGCUAUCUCAUUUUUGAUUUUGGUAAUCAGAUAAUCAUAAUAUCUAGUAUCGUAUUAUAUGCAUAAAUAAGCGUUUCCCAAUCUAUAGAGAGGAAAAAAUAAACAUUACAAACAUUGAA